AAACAUGUGGCUUAUUUAAUUUUUGUGAGAAUCUCUGUAUUUGUUGGGAGAAGAGUUGUUUGUUGGUUAGGGACCUCUCAAGUUUGUAAAGGAGUUUCAUUCCUUUAAAGCAAGUUGAAACAGUGGAAUAAGGAGAUACUUGGUGUUACUAGAGUAAGGGAAAAGGAAAUCCUUAACAAGGUUUCCCUUCUUCAUAAAUUGGCUUCGGAUAGGUUUCUUAACGAAAUCAAUUAUUUGAG
rnacentral:lncRNA from 1 species